GAUUAGUUUGAUCCUGGCUCAGGAUGAACGCUAGCGACAGGCCUAACACAUGCAAGUCGAGGGGCAGCAUAAAGGUAGCAAUACUUUGGUGGCGACCGGCGCACGGGUGAGUAACACGUAUGCAACCUACCUGUAAGAGGGGAAUAACCCGGAGAAAUUCGGACUAAUACCGCAUAAUACUGAUUAUCUGCAUGGAUUGAUCAGUUAAACAUUUAUGGCUUACAGAUGGGCAUGCGUAUGAUUAGAUAGUUGGUAGGGUAACGGCCUACCAAGUCAACGAUCAUUAGGGGUUCUGAGAGGAAGGUCCCCCACACUGGUACUGAGACACGGACCAGACUCCUACGGGAGGCAGCAGUGAGGAAUAUUGGUCAAUGGGCGAGAGCCUGAACCAGCCAAGUCGCGUGAAGGAAGAAGGUUCUAUGGAUUGUAAACUUCUUUUGUAAGGGAAUAAAAAGAGUUACGUGUAACUUAUUGUAUGUACUUUACGAAUAAGGAUCGGCUAACUCCGUGCCAGCAGCCGCGGUAAUACGGAGGAUCCAAGCGUUAUCCGGAUUUAUUGGGUUUAAAGGGUCCGCAGGCGGGUAAAUAAGUCAGAGGUGAAAUCCGGCAGCUCAACUGUCGCACUGCCUUUGAUACUGUUUAUCUUGAAUUUUAGUGGAGUGGGCGGAAUAUGUCAUGUAGCGGUGAAAUGCUUAGAUAUGACGUGGAACACCGAUAGCGAAGGCAGCUCACUAACUAUGAAUUGACGCUCAUGGACGAAAGCGUGGGUAGCAAACAGGAUUAGAUACCCUGGUAGUCC
rnacentral:rRNA from 1 species